AUUUUUCGCUUUAUAAGACGCACCAGAUGAUAAGACGCACCUAGUUUUCAGAGGAGGAAAAUGGGGAAAAAUAAUUUGAACUAAAAGAUGACCUUUAUGAUUUAUGAUACAAGAAAUAUCCAAAUUUUGGCUUUCGCAGGUUACUGAGCAACAUUACAUAAAUAAAUGUAUGAACCAAAUUUAAGUACUGGAAUCAUGUCAGAAAACUGCCUGUAAUUUUACUAUUUCAAUUUUCACUGGCUGUUUAAAAUCCUGCCUUUUAAGUAAUUAGUUGGGGCAACGGCUCUCUCUCCUCAUUGGCUCGCCUCAGAGCAUGCGAACUUCAACUCCCAGAAGCCUCGGCUGCGCUCUGCAAUGAUGAGGGCUUCUGGGAAAUGAAGUCUCGCAGCCGGCGAGGCGGAAGAGAAGCCAGGCCAGGGAAGAUGGCGGCGCCCUUGGCGGAGGAGCUGGAGCGGCUCCUGAACCCGCUUCCCGGCGCCUCGCAGGACCCCGAAGACGACCCUCAGGAUGUCCCAUUACAAUGAAAACAACUACUUUUGGGGCGGUUGCAUGGGUGAAGUGCUACCACCGCCGAAAAAAUGGCAAUGGCAGACAACAGCAGGCUCCCCGUCAUUCCAUAAGGAAAGCUGGAUCGAGCAGCCGAAAAACGGCUUUCCCCCCAUGUGAUGAGGAAGAGAGGAAGCCGUGACGGAAUGGGGCAUGGAGAGACAGGUCACCAUACCCCCUGCAUGACUGCUGGCAGGACACAGUGAUCUGCAAUGUCUUCGGCAGCACGUGUGAAGAGGUUGUAACUGGUGAGAUCAGAAGGAUGUAGUCUCAUUUGAUUUUGAUUUUUUGCAGAGGUGAGAAAAUGAACAUAAUCUUUAAUAAGCUUAUUUAUCCAUUUACUUUGCUUUCACUCAGUGUAAAAAUGCACUUCUAAGACAAAAGUUGCCAUCACACAUGACUAGUGGAUGAAAAUACAUGCAGACAGAAUUUGUCAUACAAAUGAGAUCAGUUAAUGCAACUUUUCACAGUACCGCUGUUUCUUUUUACCUACUUCAUCUUAUUUCUUAGAACAAAGAUUAAUACUACAGAAAAAGUUAUGACACUUGUAGUCUUUCCAAAGAUCUCUUUGUUAACAACUGUCAGUAUAACAUAUCAAACUUAGGGCAAACUCCCUUCCCUUGGAUUGAUAUACUUUCAGGUGCUUUAAAGGCUCUUGACAUCAGGACCCCUGUAGAUUCUUUCAAGUUCAUGUUUCCCCCCCACUUCUAGUAGCAAGUGAAGCCCCGACUUCUAAUGGGGGCUCUGCAAAUAUCUCAUCAAUAUUUAAAGUGCCAUGUGUGUUUCUGUUAGUGCUACCAAUUGCAGAUCAAAGGCAUUACCUCUGAGGUGAUGCAUUCCCUUCAAGGGACUCACAGUUGAGCCUUUCUUUCUUUCUUUCUUUCUUUCUUUCUUUCUUUCUUUCUUUCUUUCUUUCUUUCUUUCUUUCUUUCCUUCUUUCUUUCUUUUGGAAGAACUUCUUUUAACACCAUCUGCUUUUUCUUGGGCCUUGAGCAUGUUGUUUGGCAACUAUGGGGAAUUCAGUGUACAGUCAGUGAAAAUGCCAAAGUACAUAUUCUGGUCAUUUGAGGGAGGAAAGGAUGAAAAAGACUUUUCUCCUGCAGUUUUCAUUCUCCCCCCUCCCAAUACCCAGUUUAAUACCAGAGGACUGUUGAUACUGAAGCUGAAUCAACAUGGGUAUUUUUCUGAGAAUAGAGUAACAUAAGAACAUCCAGUCUAAUCAGGGCCAUAGCUGGGGGGGGGGGGUUAAGGGUUCAACCCUCCCUGAAAGGGUUCACCCCCUCUCAAAACCCUGAAAUUGUAGUUGCUGGUUGUGUCCAUGCUCAGCCAAUCAGAGCAUGGACACAACCGGACCUUUUAUUGGCUGAGAAAAAGAGAAAGAGAAAAAACUUCAAAUUCCAUCAUGCUCCGAGUGGAACUCAGAGACUUUUCAAUGCCUGUCCCAUGCAAAUGCUGCAGGGAAAGCGAGUUCCCAGUAGGGUCCUCUCUGGAGGAGGAGCCUGUUGGGACAUGUAAAAAUCAGUGUGUGUUAACCAAAAAUGUAAAGCAUGAAGCUGAUUGGUUUGGGCCACACCCAGGGAGCUAGCUGAGCCUGGGAGUUUUGGCAACAGUUGCAGAUAGCUUUCUGUGCAGGAGCUUAGCAGGAGAGGUUUUUGCUCCUGGGCUGCUGAAGGAAGACAUUUUACAUGGACAAAUUAAAAACCAUUUGAAUCUCCCUCAAAGGAUAUUGUUGUGUGGACUGGUCAAAGGUGAACUACGCGUGAUUUGCAUCCUGUCACAGAUCCUAGGGAACCUUUCCAAAAGAAAUGGACACUUCACUACCAGGGAGGGAAAAAAGAUGUUGCAGGUAAUCCCAUCUUCCUCAGGAGCCCCGUGGCAGACCCCUGACUCAGAUAUAUUGGAGACUUAACUCCACACUCUUCAGUAGCCAAUAAAUCCAGCUCUCUUGAUCCAUUUCCCCCAGCUUUUUUUGUUUCUUCCUCCAUGUUCUGUUUUCAGAGGAUUACACAAAAUGGACCACCGAAUAUUAUAAAUUACUUGUGGUCAAACUGAUCUGGGUCCAAGCCUCGUAACUGGGUUGUCAUUGUUUCUCUUUUAUAAAAGUACAGAAAUCUCUCCUCCUCUUUAUCUUCUCUUUCUCUUCCUCCUCCUACUUCUUCUAAAUUUGCAUGGAAUCAUUACUAUACAAAUAUUAUAAUUUACUAAUUUUUCUCUUCUUUCCAAAUCAGGGGGCCCUUGAUGAUCAACUUUAAAUCAUUAUUUGAUGAACUUUAAAGUCUGAGCUAAAUCUUGGUGGUCUGAGGCAACAAAAGUUCAUUGUAAGGAAAAGCAUUUAACAGCUGUUCUUAUAUGGUCCAUCUUUAACAGCUAUUUGUGGAUAUUUGGUCACAGUUCUGAACACUGCACUUUUAAGCCACGGGGAAAAAAUAAUUCUAUAAAGCUCAGGAACUCACACAUAAGUGCAAAUUCCCCUUGUCUUUGUGAGGUUUUUUUUUUUGUUUUUUUUUUUUUGCAAAGCCUUACUUGUGAGCAAUCACUUCUAAAGUCAUAGAAACAACUUGAUUUCUCUUGUUAAAAAUGAAUGCACCCCUAUCCAUCAGGUCUGACUUGUGGUUUUGAGACUGUACUUUAAGCAACUAGAAAUAGUGUGAUGGGAUUUUAAACUGUACAGUUCAAUAUGGCAGAGAGAUCGACAUUCUGCCAAUUAAUGUGAGGAAGGCAGAGAUAUUAGAAUGUUGGAGUCAUCAAAUAAUGUAAAGUUAGAUGGGAUUUUUUGUGUGUGGAAGCCAUGCAGUGUCAAUGUUCAGCAAAAUGAAUCUAUGCUGACUUCACAUACCAUCGAAGGAGCCGGCCUGUCUGUGUCUUGCAGUUCAGAGAUUUUUAAUAUCAUCCUAAACAGAAAUUCAAGGGUUUUACUGCUAGGAAGAACCACUUUACAUGCUUUUUGAAAUAAUCUUUACUUCUGCUAUUGAUUCUGUAUAUAUGAACCCAUUGCCCAAUAUCCAUUUGGCCAGGGCACAUUCAUGAAAACAAAGGAUGCAUUUUACAGUAUUUUUAAUUAAUUUUUUAAAAAUAAAUUCAGAUAAAAUCUUUGCUUUGACAUUACAAGAAAUGAUGAAAGGGCCAUGUAUAAGCAUUACUGACAGGAGAGAUGCAGUUCUUGUUUUUGAUCCUAGCGUCCAUUUCUGAUGAAACUUAGAUUGACAAUAUGUAUUAUGUGGCAAACAUGGUUAUAUUUAUACCAGUGUUCCCACAAAAAUGUGUGUGGCACAUUUGUGAAUAUUUAUCGAGUAGAUUUGAUUGGAACAACAUGAAUAUGCUGUAGGAGGAGAAAAUGGUCUAGUGGAGCCCGGAGCAUCAGCAUUAAAAGUGUAGGUCUUUUCUUUAUUUCUGGAGACAUGCCAUCAUCAGCCCUUUCAUGUAAUUAUCUAAUAUUCUCUUGGUUUAGCUGAGAUCCCCACAGUUCCUGGGCAGUAGGGAAGGAAUAGAUUUUGUCACCAUCAAUAUUUUGUUAUGAUGUAGUCCACUGAUAAUCCAAAUUUUAUGGUUUCUUGGUAUUGAAUAGGUGUUAGGUCCCAUUAGCUUUACCAAAGUCCUCUUCCUACUUGAAAUGAACACUAACAGUGGAAAAUACACAGUCAUUGUAACACGUCUGCCAUUGGAAUACAAAUGAAUUAGGACCUCAUUACAUUUAAGCUUCCUAGGAUGCUGGGAGUAUGGAGCCUUCCAGAUCCCAUCCAACAAUGUACAGCUACUUCUGGUGGGGCUCCAUCCUCUCAGUGUCCUCCAAGCAUCCUAGGAUGCAGCCAGAGAACAUGGGAGGCUUUUCGUGUUCUCAUUGAGAAGAACUGAGAUAAGCCAGGCAGCAACGCUUUCUGCCAUGGGAUGGGGAAAGUGCUGAUGCAGGCGAUGCGGGGCCCGGAGCAAUGGUUUCCCCUGAUGCCUGCUGGAUUCGCCAUGCUGCCUGGCGAAUCCCCCCACUAUCAUCCACAAAUUGGACCUCAAUGUGAUGACAUGGUAGUGAUAAUCUCAAGUGCUGCCUCCUCCUUCUCAAUGCCUUUCCUCUUCUUGUGUGCUAUGCUUUGGUUGAAAACUCCUGGUUCCUUUAAAUAUAGCUUCCCGUGAGGUCCAACCCUGAAAAUAGUCUUAUGAGCAAUGCUACAAAGUGGGAUUGCAAGAAGGUGUGUUGCAAUAGUCUAAAAUUGCAACAUUUUUUUAAAAAGGUAUUCUAAUUUGUUGUUAUAGUUUUACAAAAUAACGUGUUAUGGAUUAACUUGUUAAUUGAAGAGUUCUUAGUAACAUGUGUUAUAUUUUGGUUGUCUAUAACAGAGCUUCUUAAAUGUUUUUCAUUUAUGAUUCCUUUCUGCCCAAUUAAUUUUUAGGUGAUCCCAGGUAUAUAAAAUAGAUAUAAAAAUCAAACUGAUAAUAAAUCAGCAAUUGUAAGGCUUGCUAGUAAACAGGCUGAUUUUCCCUUGUUUUGGAACACAGUUGAAGCAUUUUUUUGGAAAGUCUAAUCUAAAUACUGCACAUUGUUGCUAACAAAUUUGUGUAAACAGGUAGCAUUCAGAAGCCAUUUACUGUUGCCAUUUUUGUGACUGCAGCAUUGAGCUAAGGGGACUCCAUUUUGGGUCGAGAUCCACAAUUUAAGAAGCAGAUACAAUAGAGUCUCACUAAUCCAAGCCUCGCUUAUCCAAGCCUCUGGAUAAUCCAAGCCAUUUUUGUAGUCAAUGUUUUCAAUAUAUCGUGAUAUUUUGGUGCUAAAUUCGUAAAUACAGUAAUUACAACAUAACAUUACUGCGUAUUGAACUACUUUUUCUGUCAAAUUUGUUGUCUAACAUGAUGUUUUGGUGCUUCAUUUGUAAAAUCCUAACCUAAUUUGAUGUUUAAUAGGCUUUUCCUUAACCCCUCCUUAUUAUCCAAGAUAUUUGCUUAUCCAAGCUUCUGCCGGCCCGUUUAGCUUGGAUAAGUGAGACUCUACUGUAACUGUAUAAUCUCUGUAUCCAUAUGACUGGUACCUGCAGUUUCACUUACUUGAAUCCAGCAGAAUAUGUUCUCACUAAAAAUUUUCUAGGUCCUCAAGGUGAUUUUACAGUGUGCUUCUGCUGGAGGCUAUCAUACAGUCUAACUGGAAGACUUAGCAAAUUCUCUAUGAAGAUGUAACUGAAUUUGCUAAAUACUUCAGUGAGACUCUAUGGUAAUCUUUGGUGGAAACUGUUCAUUUCAGUAGGUUUUCUAAGAUCCAGCUUCCUGUUUCCAUGGUAAGUCGAAGAAUAUAUCCUUCACACAUAUUGAAGUUGUCCUGUAUUUAAAUGUAAAAAUGUUAAAAAAGCUAUUUUCUACAAUCACAUUUAUAGAAAAUAAAUCCAAAAUCCAAAUGGUGAAAAUGACUUCUCAAAAGCAAUUUUUAUCAGUAAUGAAAAACAUGCAUUUGCUAACCUCUUCUUAUGCUUUCAUUACCACAAAUGUAACAUGUUAACAGGCAACAUUAUUUGCAAUCAAAGACAUUCAAGGUCUGAUAACAACCCCAUUAUGUUUCAAUUGACCAUUGUGUUUGCCAUAACAUUUAUUUAUUGUGAAAAUUUACACCAUGAAUUUCUCUACUGCAAUUAGUAAUUUUAAAAAGUAUAAACUGCUAAAACAAAUUAAAUUGCAGAUGAGAGUACAACAGCCUAUACCAUUCCUCUACCAAAUGGUUAACAAAAAUGACAAACCUCAGCUGUGUAUGGUUCAAAUAUACACAGAGGCAUAAUUUUGGGUCUUUCUCAUAUAAUGAAAAGUGAGUGUUGAUAGGUUUAAGGGAGGUUCUUCAGGGAGUACUCUAUAGAUAUGCUGUAUAUAAAAUACCAAAGAACCCAGAGUAAGAAAUGAGUUAACAGAGAUACUUCAGAUCAGCAGUCCAGCUGGCACAAGGGUUUAACCCAUUGCACCACCAGAAAGUAAUGUAACCAAACUUGUCACAAAAAGUUGUUUAUGAUCUGAGAGAAUUGGCUGUCUACAGAAAUAUAGCCCAGGGGACACCCGGAUGUGUUACCAUCUUGCUGGGAGGCUUCUCUCAUGUCCCUGCAAGCUAGAGCUGAGAGAUGGGAGCUCACCCCAUCUCGUGGAUUUGAACCGGCAACCUUCAGGUUAGCAACCCAACUUUUGGGUCAGCAGUCCAGCUGGCGCAAGCGUUUAACCCAUUGUGCCACCAUAAAGUAAUGUAGCCAAACUUGUCACAAAAUCAGAUCCUGACUGUAACCUGGCAUAAAUCUAGCUUCCGGGUCUGACAUGAUCAAUACUUGAAAGUAUUUUCUUAGUAUUCUUAAGCUGGGAUAGAUGAAAGGGAAAAAAAACAAUUUUAACUGAAGUCUAUUUCCAAUCUGAUCACAUUGUCUCUCAGCUUGGUGUGCAGGAUGGUUCUUUUUUUGCUGUUUGCAUUAUAAUCACUCCCUGUGAAAGAAGUAUGUAGCAUAUUUGGCAAACGUAUAUCAUUUUCUUAAAGGUCUGUAGCUGAGAUGAUGGGUGUUGUGAGACAGCUGAAACCUUAAAGUCACAGAAGAAUGAAAAAUCAGCCUCUGGAAAUGUAUUCUUCUUUCAUGUUGUUUGUGCUUGCUUUUGUCAGCUUUUCAUACUUAAAUGCCUAAAUGGCUGUGCUGGCCAAAACCUGAACCUAAUUUAAAGUUUAAAACUUCCA